GCACGAAUGGUCUCUUCCUCGCGCUCUAUUUAACCGCCGCCGCUGCCGCACCGCCGGCUCCAGAGCUGAGGGAGCAGCGGAGAGAGAGCAGCGCCCGCCGCCCGCGCUGCGGCUCGGUCGCGCCGGCCCCGCGGGCUCCCGCCGCCGCCACCACCAUGCAGCCGCCGGCCCUCGGCAUCCUCCUGCUCAUCGCCUGCUUCGGCAGCGCCCGGGGAAACCUCUCCCGCGACGAGAGCCAGCCCACGACGUCAGACGAGACCGUGGUGGCCGGGGGCACGGUGGUGCUCAAGUGCCAGGUGGAGGAUCCCGAUGAUUCCUCACUCCAGUGGUCCAACCCUGCCCAGCAGACCCUGUACUUUGGGGAGAAACGAGCCCUGCGGGAUAACAGGAUCCAGCUGGAGAGGUCCACCCCCAACGAGCUGACCAUCAGCAUCAGCGACGUGGUGCUGGCCGACGAGGGCGAGUACACCUGCUCCAUCUUCACCAUGCCCGUGAGGACAGCCAAGGCCCUGGUCACCGUGCUGGGCAUCCCCCAGAAGCCCCAGAUCUUCGGGCACGAGCAGCCCAUCGAUGAGGAGAAGGUGGCGCGGCUCAUCUGCCGCUCGUCCGGCAGCAAACCCGCGGCGCAGCUGCGCUGGAGGAAGGGCAACAGGGACAUCAAGGACUCGGGCACCGAGGUGGUGGAGGACCCCAACGGCAAGACCUUCACGGUGACCAGCAGGGUGGAGUUCCGUGUCACCAAGGAGGACAACGAGGUCGAGGUCACCUGCACCGUGGACCACGAGUCCCUGCAGAACUCAGAGAGGUCCACCACGCAGAAGCUGCAGGUCCACUACAAGCCCACGGCGAAGAUCGAGCCGCACCCACAGUACCCACGGGAGGGGGAGAAGCUGCAGCUGCAAUGUGACGGGCAGGGCAACCCCAUCCCGCAGGAAUUCCUCUGGGAGAAGGAGGGCAGCGACGCUCCCCUGCAGCUCAGCUCCGACAGCGUUCUCAUCUUCCCCUUCCUCAACAAGAGUGACAGUGGCACCUACGUGUGCACGGCCACCAGCUCCAUGGGCAGCGUGGUGGCCAAGUACAACCUGGACGUCAGCGAUGCCAGCCCGGUGCCCUCCACCUCCAGCACCUACCACGCGAUGAUCGGCGGGGUGGUGGCUGUCAUCGUCUUCCUCCUGCUCAGCCUCCUCAUCGUGCUGGGACAUUACCUGAUCAGGCACAAAGGCACGUACCUGACCCACGAGGCCAAAGGCUCGGACGACGCUCCGGACGCCGACACCGCCAUCAUCAACGCCGAGGGCGGCCAGGCCGGCGGCGACGACAAGAAGGAAUAUUUCAUCUAAAAGGGUCAGAGAGAGAGAGAGAGAGAGAGAGAGAGAGAGAAAUGGAGCCAAGAGAACCCCGAUGGCAACGGCAACCAGACCACAAACCCCACAAAACCCAACAGAUUUUCUCUGGCGCCCGGCACGGGCGGACGGACGGACGGACAGAGGGAUGGCGGGACAGAGAGCAGGGAGAGCCACCGGCCUCGAGGCGCUGCUGACGCUUCUCGAACUUGUACAAAUCCUUCACUCCAACAGCGAGAGCCCCGGCCCCGUUUGCUUGCUUGCACCUCCAUCCCCACGCCCCGACCCCACAGACCCACCCGUGAGUGAGCGACUUCUUCCUUCUUCCUUUUGGACCUUUUUUUUUUUAUUUUUAUUUUUUGGCUUUGGUUUCGUGGCUGCUCUUUGCUUCGGGCCCUUGGUUGGGGUGUUGGGCUGGGGUCGAUGUAGCUCUUCCCUUUGUUUCUCUCCCUUUUGGUUUCUUUGAUAUCCAAGGAUAAAAUCAGCUCCGGGUUCCCGGGGUGAGGUUGGCAUCCUGGGUGUCCCCGUUGUCCCCUCCCUGUGGCGGGGGGGGUGACUCCAGGUGGGAGCAGAGUGAGACCCUGCCCCGAUUUUAUCCUUGGUGGUUCUUGUGGAGCAGUGUCCAUGCGGGAGCAGAGCUGUCCUCGUGCAGUCAGUGUGUGAAAGGGGGUGAAAGCCCAGGGUGGGACCCCCAGAGACACCAGGAGCCCCCACAGCUCCCGGGUCCCACCCCAGAGGGAGGGGGGAGGGCUGAGGUUUAUUUUGGGGGGGCCAAAUCUAGAGGAAAAGCCCCCAACUUUUAUUUAUUUUUAUUUUUUUCUUAAAUUCUCUGAUUGGAAAUGCCAAUUUUAACCAUCUAUUGAGAUGUUCAGUGCAGGAGGCAGCGCCCCUGGGGCUGGGGCUGCUUCCCUGGGACCCCCAGAGCAGGGCUGGGGUCUCUCUGCCCCCCUUCCCUCCCCAGCCCCUUCCCAGGGCAGGGAUGAGCUUGGAAAGGGCUGAUUUUCUUCUUGGCUCUGAGAACCCCAACCAAAACACCUGGAUUUGGGGUCUGGGGAGUUUGGGGUCACCACAGAGGCUUUGGAGGGGGGUUCACCCUUCUUCCUUGCCCUUCCUCCUGCCUCUUUCACCUUCACUUCCAAGACAAAACCAAACACCUUUCCCCACCUGUCCAGCCCAGCCCCCCCAAACCAGGCACCCCCGGGAUGGGGCUGCCCCCCCUGGCAUCCUUAGGGCACCCCCAGCCUUGGCAUGAGGUGUUCUGGGAUCCCACGUGCCAGUCUGGGCACAGGGGGGUUGCAGGAGAUGCCCUUGGGCUGGGCACCCCGUGGAUUUGGGGUCGUGUGGAGGAGAGGAACCCUUUAGGAUGGGGGUAACCUCACCUGGGAGGUCACCCCAUGGAUUUGGGGUCAUCUGAAGGAGAAGGAACCCUUUAAGAAAUGGGUAACCUCACCUUGGGAGGUCAUCCCAUGGAUUUGGGGUUGUCUGGAUGAGAGGAACCCGUGGAGAAUGGAUAACCUCAUCUUGGGAGGUAACCCCAUGAAUUUUAGGAGGGGUAACCUCAGUUGGGAGGUCACCCUGUGGAUUUUAGGAGGGGUAACCUCAGCUGGGAGGUCACCCCAUGGAUUUGGGGUCAUCUGAAGGAGAAGGAACCCUUUAAGAAAUGGGUAACCUCACCUUGGGAGGUCAUCCCAUGGAUUUGGGGUUGUGUGGAGGAUGAAAAGGCCCUUUGGGAAGGGGUAACCUCACCUUGGGAGGUCAUCCCAUGGAUUUGGGGUUGUGUGGAGGAUGAAAAGGCCCUUUGGGAAGGGGUAACCUCACCUUGGGAGGUCAUCCCAUGGAUUUGGGGUUGUGUGGAGGAGAGGAACCCGUGGAGAAUGGAUAACCUCAUCUUGGGAGGUAACCCCAUGAAUUUUAGGAGGGGUAACCUCAGUUGGGAGGUCACCCUGUGGAUUUUAGGAGGGGUAACCUCAGCUGGGAGGUCACCUCGUGGAUUCUGGGAGGGGUAACCUCAGCUGGGAGGUCACCCCAUGGAUUUGGGGAGGGGUAACCUCACCUGGGAGGUCCCCCCCAUGGAUUUGGGGAGGGGUAACCUCACCUGGGAGGUCACCCCGUGGAUUUGGGGUCGUCUGGAGGAUGAGGAGGCCCUUCAGGAAGGAGGUGGGCUGGGAAACCUCACCUGGCAGGUGCAGGAAGAAUUUCACCACCUCUUCCACAGGGCUGCAAGUGCCACCCCCCACACCCUGCCAGCACCUGGCACCUGUGCCACCUGGCUCAGGUGAGGCAGAGGAGGCCCCGUUGGUGCCACACACAGGUGACACCGAGGGAUGUGACACUGGGGACACUGCAGAGGUGACCAGCGUGGCUCAGCUGUGGUGCUGGCACUGGGAAGGAGCAGGACACGGAGAUUGUGGGUGUUUUUUUGCUGGGUACAGCCAUUUUUGGGAUGGUUUUCCUCCUUUCCAACCUCCGGGGGAUGAAUCCCGGGGCUGCCAACAACACUUGAGGUCCCCAGGACUGAGUCAUUCCUGCAAAUAAACCCCCCCGAGAUGUGUUCUCCAGCAGAAUUCCAUCUCCUGGGGGGCUGCAGGGGUCCCAGGCAGAGCCAGGAGCAGGGGUGGGAGGGGGCAGGAGGUCCCUGGGGCAGGAGGUGGGAGCUGCCAGGGACAGGGGGGCUUUUCCCUCUUGGAAUUCAGUUCCUCGCUGGUUCUGCUGCUCCAGAGCUGCUCCAAAGGAGAACAGCCUGGUCUUGGUGCUUUUGAGCUGGUUUUGGGGUGGUUUUGGUGGUUUUUACAUGGUUUUGUGGUGGCUUUGAGGUGUUUUUGAGGUGGUUUUGGUGGUUUUGAGGUGGUUUUGGUGGUUUUCACAUGGUUUUGAGGUGUUUUUGAGGUGCCACGUGCUGUGGGGUGUGGCAGGGCAGCCCGGGGAUCAGGCAGGGCCCUGUGGAGGUGUCACCUGGCCCGGUGUCACCUGCAGGUCACAAGGAGGGGCUGCGAGGGCUCCGAGAUUCCAUCUGAGGCCACUGGAGGCAGUGGGAACCAAAGGGUUUGGUGGAGCUGGGAGCGGUGGGGGAGAUUUGUGUCACACCUGGGGGUGACACCAGCGUGGCCCUGGGGUGACAGGGACCCUCCCGAACUGGGAGGACUCCAGGUGGAAGCUGUGACAGGGACACUCCACGUCACCACGGUGACAGCGAGUCCCUGACCCUUUUGGGGUCACCCUGUGGAGUCCUUGGGGGUGACAGACACCCCGUGUCACAGAGGAGCAGGAGGUGACAAGUGAGGUGUGGCCCCUGUCCUUGUCCCCUUGGGGGUUGGUGACACCACACUGUAGCUAUGACAGGCAUGACACCACACGCAGGGCAGGUGGCAGGGUCAGUGUCACCGUGUCUGGGACAGCCCAGGGGGUCCUUGGUGGCCCCACAUCCACCCAGGCACGGGGGUUGGGUCACCAGGAGGAUUUGGGGACCCCCUGGGAGGCCGUGGCUGCUUCCUGGCCGGCACUGAACUCUCAAUAGACACGAAAGCCAUAUUUUGGGGAGCUCUGGAGAGGCCAGGGCGGGGGCCAGAGGCUGGGCUGUGUUGUUGUGCUGUGUUUUUUUGUCUGUACAUAAAAGGGAGCCAACGACCGUCGAUGUGACUUUAUAACCUUUCUAAUAUCCUGUGCUAAUCUCGGAAAAUAAUCCUAUAAAUAUAUCUGGAUUACACACCUUA